AAAGAAGUUACUCCCACUACUCUUCUCCAUUAUGUAGAUAAUCCCCACUACUUCUCACCAUUAUUGUUGUAACUCCCAUACCUUCAUAAUUUACCUAUGAUCUUCUUCCAUGAUCUCAAAUACUUAAUGGCAUACUUAUGAAAUUGUUUUGGUAUACCUCUAUGUUGUACUAUAAAUAGAGGAUGAAAACUCAUUUUGUAAUACACUUG
rnacentral:lncRNA from 1 species